rnacentral:rRNA from 1 species
AUUGAGCGCUAGCGGGAUGCCUUACACAUGCAAGUCGAACGGCAGCGCGGACUUCGGUCUGGCAGCGAGUGGCGGACGGGUGAGUAAUGUAUCGGAACGUGCCCAGUAGCGGGGGAUAACUACUCGAAAGAGUAGCUAAUACCGCAUACGCCCUACGGGGGAAAGGGGGGGAUCGCAAGACCUCUCACUAUUGGAGCGGCCGAUAUCGGAUUAGCUAGUUGGUGAGGUAAAGGCUCACCAAGGCGACGAUCCGUAGCUGGUUUGAGAGGACGACCAGCCACACUGGGACUGAGACACGGCCCAGACUCCUACGGGAGGCAGCAGUGGGGAAUUUUGGACAAUGGGGGCAACCCUGAUCCAGCCAUUCCGCGUGUGCGAUGAAGGCCUUCGGGUUGUAAAGCACUUUUGGCAGGAAAGAAAUCGCACGGAUUAAUACUCUGUGUGGAUGACGGUACCUGCAGAAUAAGCACCGGCUAACUACGUGCCAGCCGCCGCCGUAA